GGCGCACGGGUGAGUAACACGUGAAUUACAUGCCCUUCAGUGGGGAAUAGCCCAGGGAAACUUGGAUUAAUACCCCAUGGUAUCGCAAGAUUAAAGGUGGCCAGCAAUGGCUGUCGCUGAAGGAUUGGUUCGCGCCCUAUCAGCUUGUUGGCGGGUAACGGCCCACCAAGGCUACGACGGGUACCUGGUUUGAGAGGACGAUCAGGCACACUGGAACUGAGACACGGUCCAG
rnacentral:rRNA from 1 species